CCGAGCAGUGGCAGCGGUCCUGCCACCACCACCGAGAGAGAAAAUGGCGCUCGCCGCCGCUCCCCUGCUCCGCCUCCCGAUCUCUCCUCCCCCCUCACCACCGCCGACGCCGGCGACUCCUCUUAGCUGCCUCCACCUUCGCGCUGGCCGCAGACGACAGCGCCUCGCCGCCGCGGCAACGGCUUCGCCCGCCGCUCCCAUCUCCCCCGUCCCCGCGGCGGACGCGGAGCGGCGGAAGCACGAGCUGCUGCGGGCGGUGCAGGAGACGGGGCGGGGCUUCGCGGCUGGCCCCGACCAGCGAGCGGGCAUCGAGGAGGCCAUUGUGAGCGUGGAGGAGCUCGGCGCCGGGGAGGGGUCGCCGCUGGACCUCGCGGCGCUCGACGGCACAUGGAGGCUAUGCUACACUUCGGCGUCGGACGUGCUCGUCCUAUUCGAGGCGGCCGAGAGGCUCCCCUUCCUGCAGGUGGGGCAAAUAUACCAGAAAUUUGAAUGCAAAGAUAGGUCAGAUGGUGGAAUUGUGCGGAACGUUGUGCGGUGGAGCAUCGAGAACUUGCUGGAGGAGCAAGAAGGUGCAACACUGAUGGUCUCUGCAAAAUUUGAUGCCAUGUCUAAGCGCAACAUCUUCCUUCAAUUUGAGGAGGUUGCGAUACAAAAUAUCAAGAUUAGUGAGCAGUUACAAGCACUCAUAGCACCUGCUAUACUUCCUCGCUCAUUUUUGAGCCUCCAGGUAUUGCAGUUCCUUAAAACAUUUCAGGCUCAAGUUCCUGUUAAUGGCCCUGAAAGGCGGUCACCUGGAGGACUGUACUAUCUUUCUUACCUUGACCGCGAUAUGCUCCUCGGGCGUUCAGUUGGUGGCGGUGGAGUUUUUAUUUUCACAAGAGCGCAACCUCUUUUAUGACGUUUUCAGAAUUAUUAGUAGAAUAUCAUUCAAGGCAGUAAAUUAUCUGAGUUUACACAUACAAAAGCCAUUUUUUACUCAACGCCGGUCGAGAAAGCCGUUGGGAAGGCACUAUUCAACAUGGUCAGAGAAGUAGAAUGAGAUCGGGGGAGGAGCAGGGCACGUCCACGGCCAGCAGGAGAUGGAUCUACUGCUGUUGAAGCUGGCGGGAGAUAGAGGGAGCUGAGGGCUGGGCCAUGAAGCCACGAGCCACAGCCGGCCUCGCCUCGCUCGAGGUGACGGCACUUCCUGGCCCACCUUCUCUGCCGGUGGACGUCGCUCGCGGCAGCGCACAAAGUAGGCGGACCGACGCCGACGCAGCGCCGGUGAGGAUCAGUGGGUGGCUGACGACGGUAGCAGGAGAUCGAGGCGGCGCAACCGGCACGGAUCUGGAGGCGCACUGAAGCAAACCGGCGGCGGGCGGAUGGUCUGCUUCCCUCUGCCUCACUACAGCGCGCUCCUCUCGACUUGUCUCGAUUUCUAGUCACCACCACUUCGGUCGCCUCUAGCGCAUCAACUGCCACUUCCUGGCCACCUUCUCCGCCGCACCAUAUAUUGGCCGCUGUUUGGUCGAUCCCAAAAACAGGAUCGUUGUGGAGAGCGAUGGAUGGAUAUAUAGUGGCUACGGCCGCGUUCGUUGUUGGUACAUUUGGGGGGGUAAGUUAUUCGGUGCG